rnacentral:rRNA from 1 species
AAUUAUGGCUCAGGAUGAACGCUGGCGGCGUGCUUAACACAUGCAAGUCGAACGAAGCAACUAUCUUGCUUGCAAGAGAGUUGACUUAGUGGCGGACGGGUGAGUAACGCGUGGGUAACCUGCCUCAUACAGGGGGAUAACAGUUGGAAACGACUGCUAAGACCGCAUAACCCGCUAGUGUCGCAUGACACGGACGGAAAAUAUUUAUAGGUAUGAGAUCGGGCCCGCGUCUGAUUAGCUAGUUGGUAAGGUAACGGCUUACCAAGGCGACGAUCAGUAGCCGACUUGAGAGAGUGAUCGGCCACAGUUGGGACUGAGACACGGCCCAAACUCCUACGGGAGGCAGCAGGUGGGAAUAUUGGACAAUGGGGGAAACCCUGAUCCAGCGAACCGCCGCGUGAGUGAAGAAGUAUUUCGGUAUGUAAAGCUCUAUCAGCAGGGAAGAUAAUGACAGUACCUGACUAAGAAGCCCCGGCUAACUACGUGCCAGCCGCAGC